UUUCUUUUUUUCCAUUUACCUACUUGUUUCUAUUUUAAAAAAAUCUUUUACAAAUGCAUGUUGUUUCUUUGGUUUCUAGGUUACAAUUGUGAGUAUUUUCCUAGUUCUACUGACUAAAGACUUGUGUGAUGUGAAUGAUUUGAUGUGCAUUCUUAAUAUGUUAAGUAUGACUAAAUUCUAAAUUGUACAUCAUUUGUGGUAGAUCAUUAACCUUUGUGAUAUUUUGAGCCUAAUAAUG
rnacentral:lncRNA from 1 species